rnacentral:lncRNA from 1 species
CGUGCCCUCCCGGGCCGCGCACGCGCGCUGGGCCCCGCGGACCGCGCGUCCCGGAGCGGCGACGCCAGCCUCUCACCGCGGCCCCACACCCUUAUCCGCCAGCUGCUCUGAAGCAGUGGCCUGGACGCCGCUGCUCUGGGCGCGGGGAAUGGUAAAGCUGGCGGUUUCGUCCCUAGAAAGGAACCCGGAGCUGGGGAGGGCUCCGACUUCAGCGCGAGCCCUGUGACCCGGGGUGGCUGGGCUCCUCGGGCCGCAGUUUCCCUGUGGUGGAGAUCCCAGUAUCCCCGUCGGAAGGCUGCGCGCAGCAGCGGAGGCAGUGGGUGCACGCCCUGUGCACACCGUGCCUGGGCUAUCACUGUGGCGUCGGUGUGCACACGACACAGGCGCAGGUACUGCCUAAAAGUUGUUCAGGCCACUUCUGGAGGCGCGACCAGGACCGGCCCGGAGGGUGCCGUGGCACACAUCUGUAAUCCUAUCACUCAGGAGGCAGAUGCAGGAGGAUCACAAGUUUGAGACCAGACUUCGUCUGCAUAGCAAGUCGAAUGCCUGCCUGCCUGGACCACAUAAGUACAGCACUGUCUGCAGCCCCUGCGAAGGAGAAGCUGUCUGGUGCCAUUAGCGUCCCUGAAGAGCAGUGUUUUGCAUGUCUGCUCUACAUCACCGCCGUUCCUCCAAGACCCGACCCAGUGACUGAGGAUGCUGGCCUCACCGUGCCUUCCACCAUGGCCAUGCUGUGUGUGGACAAUCUGGGCUCCUCUUUCUCGGUCUCCCCCGGGGUCACUCGUGUGACUGUGGUACCCAGCUCUGGAGGGUCCGAGGUGGUGUCCUCACGUGUUCCACAGUCAGUGCUGGCUCUCUCUCUCUUCUGUGUCUUUCUUACAAAAGAAAAAGGAAUCAUAUGGUUUAUGGAAGAAAAUUUAGAAAUGCUGUCAAAACAAGGGAAAGAAAAUAGCACUCACCUAUAAUGCCAGCACCUCAGAAUAACCAUUGUUGGUAUUUAGACAUAUAUAUCUAUCCAGCCUUACUCUAAAAUAUUGGUAACAAUGUGUAGUCUACAAAAAUGCAUAUUAUUGAUUACUUCUUUUUUUUUUUUUUUUUUUUUUUGCAGAACCAGGGAUCAAACUCAGGACCUUGUGCUUGCCAGGCAGGCAUGGCACCACUGAGCUACAUCCCUGGCCCUACUUUUUUGUUUUGUGACACAGGGUCUUGCUAUGUAGUUCAGGCUAGCCUUGAACUUGCAGUACUAUGUAGUCUAGGGUGGCCUCGAACUCAUGGUGAUCCCUGCCUCAGCCUCCCAAGAGCUGGGAUUACAGGUGUGUGCCACUAUGCCAGGCAUUGAUUAUUUUCUUGAUAGGCACUGUGCUGUAUCCUCUGCAUAGAUUAUUUCAUUUAAUACUCACUGCACUCCUACAGAACAGAUACUAUUACUAUUACUAUUACUAUUACUAUUACUGUCUUUAGGGAAGGAAAAAUUGAUGCUUAGCGACCUUAUACAUACAUAUAUACUGUCUUGUAACUCCUUUUUUCAUAUAACAUCAUGCAUAAUUCCUCACUUGAUUGCUUUUGAACAGGCUGGAUCAAAAUAAAAAAGUAACAAAGACUUUACAUAAAAAUAAUGUGGGUUUUUUUACAAGGGAGUAAUACUCAGCCACAAAGAAACACAAACUUGAGACAUUUCUAGGUUAAUGGAUGCACCUUGAGACCAUAGUCUUAAGUGAAAUAAAUCAGACACACAUGUAAAUAUCACAUUGUCUCUCUGGUGUGAGAAGCUGAAAGGGUAAAUAAGGACCAAAAUGUAUAGUAGAUAAUGGGAAAUUGUUCAAAAGGAAAGGGAAACUGAAAGUUGGAAGGGGGAAAAGGAAGGGAAAAGAAAAAAAAUGGAAACAAAGCUUUUGUAAAUGAGGAGGGGAGGGGAUUGGGAGAAAAAGAGGAAUCAAGGUAUACCAUAAACAGGUACAAAUUCCCCUUAAUGAAUGUGAUCGUUAUGUAUAUUCAAAUUGUGCCAAUAAAAUCAAUUUUAAAAAACAAUGACUUUACAAUAUUUGGAUCUCUGAUUUCUGGCCAAAUUUGCUUCUUGAGCCUGUCAGGUGAUUGCAGAUUAGAACAAAAUAAUGAUGCAUGCCCUUCACUGCAAAGUACUAGCUUUGACAUUUCAAUCUUUUGUAAGAGCUUCAAGG